ensembl:Y_RNA Y_RNA Y RNA
GGCUGGGUCUGAAGGUGGCGAGUUCUCUGUUAUAACAGUCAGUGACACAUAAACUCCUUGUUCCACUCUUUCCCCUCUUCUCACCACUGCACUUGACUAGUCUAAA